rnacentral:rRNA from 1 species
CUGUGUGUUGUUGGGUAGGGGAGCGUUCUGUAAGCCUGUGAAGGUGUGUCGUGAGGCAUGCUGGAGGUAUCAGAAGUGCGAAUGCUGACAUAAGUAACGAUAAAGCGGGUGAAAAGCCCGCUCGCCGGAAGACCAAGGGUUCCUGUCCAACGUUAAUCGGGGCAGGGUGAGUCGACCCCUAAGGCGAGGCCGAAAGGCGUAGUCGAUGGGAAACGGGUUAAUAUUCCCGUACUUGGUGUUACUGCGAAGGGGGGACGGAGAAGGCUAUGUUGGCCGGGCGACGGUUGUCCCGGUUUAAGCGUGUAGGUGUGUGUUCCAGGUAAAUCCGGUUCACUUUAACACUGAGGCGUGACGACGAGGCACUACGGUGCUGAAGCAACAAAUGCCCUGCUUCCAGGAAAAGCCUCUAAGCAUCAGGUAACAUCAAAUCGUACCCCAAACCGACACAGGUGGUCAGGUAGAGA